GUGCCAGCAGCCGCGGUAAUACGGAGGGUGCGAGCGUUAAUCGGAAUUACUGGGCGUAAAGCGCAUGCAGGCGGCCUGUUAAGUCAGAUGUGAAAGACCCGGGGCGUUAACCUCGGAAUUGCAUUUGUAAACUAGGCAGGCUAGAGUCUUGUAGAGGGGGGUAGGAAGUUUCAGGUGUAGCGGUGAAAUAGCGUAGAGAUCUGAAGGAAUACCAGUGGCGAAGGCGGCCCCCUCGGACAAAGACUGACGCUCAGAUGCGAAAGCGUGGGGAGCAAACAGGAUUAGAUACCCUCGGUAG
rnacentral:rRNA from 1 species